rnacentral:rRNA from 1 species
AUUGAACGCUGAAGGCAGGCCUAACACAUGCAAGUCGCACGAGUGGAGGACGGGUGAGUAAUGUCUGGGAAACUGCCUGAUGGAGGGGGAUAACUAAUGGAAACGGUAGCUAAUACCGCAUACCAUCCGAUGUUCCCAGAUGGGAUUAGCGUGUUGGUGGGGUAACGGCUCACCAAGGCGCCGCUCCCUAGCUGGUCUGAGAGGAUGACCAGCCACACUGCAACGGAGACACGGUCCAGCAUCCUACGUGAGGCAGCAUUGGGAAAUAUAGCACAUUGGGCACAAGCCUGAUGCAGCCAUGCCGCGUGUAUGAAGAAGGCCUUCGGGUUGUAAAGUACUUUCAGCGGGGAGGCGUUACCCGCAGAAGAAGCACCGGCUAACUCCGUGCCAGCAGCCGCGGUAAUAC